rnacentral:lncRNA from 1 species
GGAGGAGGGCGAUGGAGGAGAGGAGAGGAAUUAAGGUUUGGAGAAGGUUGGCCAAUUUGAUUAAAUGUAUUUGGAUGUAGUGGAUGAUGGUGUAUCGAUCUCUUGCUCCUAUUUAUAGUUGUAAAUAUAUAUUAAUAAUGGUAUCAUUCAAUCAUUAUACUUUAGGCCGGCCGGGCCGGAUCCUCUAUUCCAAAUUCUAUGUCUCAUUGUUCAUAUUCACUAUUAAUUUCACUAUUUCAAUAAUUAAAAAAAUUCAUAGAGUUUGGGGCAGAGGAUCCCGUUUGAAUCCCACAUGGAUCCUCUGUCCCAUAACUUAUUGUGUUCCUUCCCAUUAUUAAUCUCGAUAUUAUAUUUCUACUUUGGAGUUAAUUCAUUAUAAACCCAUGAAAGAUCAGACGAAAUUCAUCCAAUAAACAUUUAUAAAUUUAUAUUUAAAUUUUGUUUCGCGGGUAUCUGAUAGAUAAUAGGUAUUCGUGGGUGGCGAAUUUGGGUAGCAUUUGAUAUUCAUAGAUAGUUUCAUGAUUAAAAUCCAAUAUUCAUUUAGUUCACGGGUAUGGUAUGACAGCCACUAUCUGUGUACGUCAUACCUGAUUGCCAGUAUGACAAAUAUAAAAGUUGUGAGAUGCACAGCAGCUUAAUUAUUCAAAUAGAAAUAUCAUCACAUGUGCAUUGAUAUUUCACAAAAUAAAUACUACUACUAAUAAAUACUCCCUCCGUCCACCAAAGAUAUGCCACUUUACUUUCGGUACGAGUUUUAAUAAAAUGUGAGUGAAGUUGGUAGUGGAGUAAGGGUCCCACUUUAAAUGUGAGUGGAAUGGUAUGGACCUUACUACUAAAAAUGGAUGUGGCAUAUUUUUCGUGGACGAACGAGAAAGAAAAUUGUGGCAUAUCUUUGGUGGACGGAGGGAGUAGUACUCAUUGAUAAUGCAUGCCAACACAUGGUUCUUGCAAGUCAUAUAUAUACCUCAUCAGCAAUAUAGUAAAAUGAUGAUUUGACAACCAGAUUAAGACACCAAUUAUUCUUGUCGGGACACAGACAUAUAUGCAUAUAGAAUUAAUAUUAUUUACUAUUUCGUUUAUACACGUGAAUUAUGCUUUGGAUGCAACAUCGCCACGUCUCUUUCAUUUAUACUUCUCUAGUGUAUUGCGGACAAAAUAGUUAGUGUCUUUAAGAAAUUAAAAAUUUUCAAAUACAUAAGAAAGAAUAAUUAAUCUAAUUGGUGCGCCGGCAACUAAAACUUUUUUCAAUUCACUUUAUAUUUUAUAUACUCCCUCCGUCCACGAUUUAAUGCCCCAUUUUAGUGUGGGCACGGAGACUAAGAAAACUGAAAAAGGUGAUGUGAAUGAAAUAUAAGGGUAGUUGACUAAAGUGAUAAAGAUGCUGUGAGUGGGUUCACUAGUGAUAAAGUAUAGGAAAUAUAGAAUAUAAAAAUGAUAAAGGUGUUUUAAGUUGGGUCCAUUAGUGGCAAAGAGUAAUAAAUAUAGAAAAAGAAGAGUAAAAAAGUACAAAAAGCAUAAUAGGGCUUUAAUUUGUGGACAAAAAAUUAAGAGCAAGUAGGGCUUUAAAUUGUGGACGGAGGGAGUAUUUAACAUUACAAGUCAAUUGCUUGCAGAAUUUGAGCUUGUCUCCCGUGAUGGAGACCUCACCAUGCGGCAACCCGUGCCUGCGCCUGCCUUUUUUCUUCCCGUCUUGCUCUAUCCAGAUAUUAUACGUGAUCCAACUCUUUCCAGAUAUUAUACGUAAAUGAUAAUUUUACUAACAAAAAUUACACUUUUUAUCAAUAACAAAUGAAACUAUGCAUACAAAACAGGAGGUAAAUGAUAUUUUUCUUAAUAACAACUGAUACUUUUUCAAUGCAAAUAAUACUUCGCAAAUGAUAUUUUAAUAUAAAAGUAAAUGAUACUUUGUAUAAAAAUAAAUGUUAUAUUACAAAUGACACUUUUAAUGCAUACCAAUGACACUUUUAAUAACAAAAAUUGAGAAAAAAAAAUUAGAAUUCGGCCUUAAUUAAAAUUUGGACAACAUUUAUUUGGGCAAAGAAGAAAAACACCUGAAUUUUUUUUUUUCCUUUUUUGAGAGAGAAAAACUCAUGAAAUUUCAUGCAAAAGGUAAUGCAUAGCCAACCGGGCUCAAUCAUCUUUCGGCGGUUUUGGUUUGAUUCUUCCAACAUCUAGGGUAGCAUUCACACAAAAUCAACUCGUGUUCAAAAAUCUGAAAUUAAAAUUAACGAUGUGUCUCAGUAUAGAGAUAAGAACAUACCCCUCAAAUGGUUCGAGCCAAGGUCUAAUUCCUUCAGCAGUGUGAUAUUCCAAAUUUGAGUAGGCAUAUAUCCGCCAAAGUUGUUGUCUGACAAGCGAAUACUCUCAAGUUGUGGACAUUGGUACAAACUCGAUGGUAUAUCUCCUUCCAAAUUGUUAAAGGAUAGGUUCACUAGUUUAAGUCUUUGAAGGUUAUUGUACGUGCNUAGACAACAAGAAAUAUCUAUUGUCUAUUCUAUGACAAAAAAAUUAAAAAAUUCUAAUAUAUCUGCAUCCCUGUAUUACAAUACCAAUAUAUAUGAAAAAAUAAAAAUAAUUAAAAAUCAAAUAAUCAAACAAUACUUAUAAACCACUAAUACUCACAAUCAAAUAUUUACACAUCAGUGUAAAUAUUGGGUUCGAGUCCUCUGCGUGUGUUGAUCAAGCGGUAAGGGGUUAAUGCCUAAGGUCAAAGGUCUGGGAUUCGAGUCCCCUGUGGUGUAGCCUUUUAAUUUCGUUAUUUAAUAUUGUAAAUUUAUAAAAAAAAAAAAGUAUAUUUACACAUCAACAAUUGUAUUAUCUUUAAUACGCCUUCAUUCAUCUAAUAAAAAAAAUCUCUAAUAAAAUCUCCAACUAACUCCGGUCAUGAUCAUCUCUUGAAGGCGGAGGAAGGUGGAGUCCGUCGGGAAAUGGGUACUGCCUUGAUAGAUGAGAUCUUUCGGCUGGUCGCCCCAGAAGUCGUAGGUGAAGGACGUCGUUUGGGACAACGCCGUGUUGGAAACGGAGAGGAGGAGGACGAUGGAGGAGAGGAGAGGAGUUAAGGUUUGAAGAAGCUGGUUGGCCAUGGCUUAAUUGAUUUAGAUUUAGAGAUGUGGUGGAUGAUGGUGGUAUCGAUCUCUUGCACCUAUUUAUACUAGUAUGGUUCAUGCCUGUUAAUAAUUGUAUAUAUCAAUCAUCGUGCAUCUAUCCCAAAUUAUAUGUCUUAUUAUUCACUAAUUAGAUGGAUUAAAUCCUGAUUAGUAACCAUAAAAUUAAACUGUCAAUGAGGCCUUGCUCUAGUGGCAAAGCUGUGACACCGAAUAACUUUUCUUUGUGAAAUGUCUUGGGUUCAAUCUCGCCUGCAUGCGGUGAUGUGUGUCCAUUUUAGGUGGUGUGGUAUUCUUGUCUGCGUGCGGUGUUGUAUUGUUUAGUGUUGAGGUCCCACAUGCAGAGCGUUCUUGCCUGUGUACGUGUCACAGCCCAAAACCAUUUAUUUUCUUUACAAAUUUUAUAUAUGAAAAUUAUUUAAUUUUUAAGUUAUAGAGUUUUUGAAAUAUAUAUAGUAUCAAUUUUAUGUUAACUUAGUCGUGUCCCUAAUUAAAAGAAUGACUUUAAAAUAAAACUUAAGCCUUAAAAAUUUAAUCUACAUUCAUAUAUAACUGAAAUUACAUGCAUGUCUAAAUAUUAUUUAUAAUUAUCAAUAACAAGAUUAAUGAUUCUAUAUCUCUAUGUUUAUACAUGUAUUCACGUAUGACAUAGUAUAUAUUAGCUAUUAAGUUAAAAACUAAUAAAAUACUACACUUUUGCAUAGGAUAUAUAUUUAAUUAGUAGUAGGAUAGGACACGUGUAUUAAUUUUAAGGGCAAGUAAUCAAACUUUUGAAUGAUUCAUCAUGCUUAAAAAAAAAAGAGACCUAGAUAGAUGAUUCAUCAGAUUCAAAAACAAGUAUAAAUAGACUUCGGGUUUGAAAUUUUAAUUAAUUUGCAACAACAAUUCAAACUGACUGUAUUAAGGUAAGUAGUUACAGAUUUCAUACACAUAUUAUAUGAUUUCGCACACAUAUUAAGGUAAGUAUAUAUAAAUAUUUUUUAAAAUCAUAUAUUAUAUAAUAAUUAUAUUUAAGUUUUAUAUUAUUCUUUAUAAACUAUUGUUUCAUUCUAUAUAAUUAGGUGUGGCACGACUAGGACGUAACUUUCUAUUGAAUUUCUCAAGUUAAUCUUAGAGUUCAAGUUUCAGGUGUGAGAUUUAUUUAAAUACAUGUCGUACGUGGUUAUUUAUUGUCCAUUUUAAUAAGAUGUGUUUACCAUAUGUGUUAUGACGCAUAUUUUUAGGAUAUCACUAGGUGCCCAUAAAUAGGAUCCAGGACUUCACCGUCCUUGGAUUGCCACAAUGCGAUUUGAGGUUUAUUUUGAGGAUGUCGUUAGGGGCCCGUACAUAGGGUCCAGGACUUUAAUAGUCAUUGGGUUGCCAUAGUGCAAAUAUUGAGGAUAUAUAUGAAGUGACCGUAUGUGUUACCGUUUCAUUAACGUGGACAAUGAUUGCAUGUUUAAGAGACAAUAACCAAUUUUUCAGACAUUUGUGAACAAAAUGAAGCAUGUUUAGAGAUCCUUAAUACAGGUGUACGAAAUGAUGGAUAAAUAAGUUUGUGAAACAAAUUUCACCAUACCUAACCCCACAAUUAUUUGCGGUCGAAUUUCCUCGUCACAGGAAAAAGAGAUGAUGACAAAAGGGAAAAAAUUAAUUAACAAAGUAGAAGAUGCAUGACAACUGUAAAAGAAAAAUAAUGCUACUAAUUAAAUAGUCCAAACUUCAUACGUUUCAUAUCAUAAGUGGCAGUUCUAUUUUUUUUUUUGCGAAUGUGAACAAAAUAACGAAUAAUUUUUAAAGUAAUAGUAAUAAGGAGAUGUGUUUUGACAGAAAACGACAUGAGCGGCCUAAAAAUAAGAGGGAAAAAGAUAAUCAUAUAAAUAUUCAAAAUCAAACGGAUUGGCAUGUAUUCAUCAUUUUUUAUUUUUUAUUUUGAUAAUUUAACAGUACUCCCUCCGUCCGUCAAAAGUAGACCACUUUGGUUGGGCACGGGAUUUAAUAAAAUUAGUGAUGAUUUUGAUGUAGUAGAGAAAGAGUUCCACCACUUUAUGAGAUGUGUGGUUGAGAUUGAAUUUGUUGUGAUUUUUUUGUAAAUAAAGAGUGUUUGUAAGGAUAAAAGAUUAAAGUGGGUGGUGGGACCAUUUCCAUAAAAGGAAAGUGGUCUACUAUUUGCGGACGCCCAAUAUAGUAAAAGUAGUCUACUUUUGGCGGACGGGGAGAGUAUUAAAUAAAUAAAUUUAAAGGUUGCACCCCUUACUGCUUGGCUUUUAGAUUAUGUUAUAAUAAUAAAAUUAACAGCACGUUUACAAUAUAAAAUUAAUUAUGAUAAAUACAAUAUAUUAAUAAUAAAUACUCAAUUACCUCUUAACAUAAUUCGCGCAUCAUGGCUUUUAGCUUAUAUUAUAAAGAUAUAAUAUGUUGUCUAUAAUAAUCGACGGAAGGUAAUAGACAACAUGUUUUAUAUGUUGUCUAUAAUAAUAUAGACAGUAGAUCUAGUGUUAUAGAUAACAAUUAAUACUUGUUGUCUAUAUGAUGAUAGACACCAAAAAUCUCUGUUGUCUAUUCUAUGACAAAAAAAUUUAAAAAAAUUCUAAUAUAUUUACAUCCCUGUAUUACAAUACCAAUAUAUAUGAAAAAAUAAAAAUAAUUAAAAAUCAAAUAAUCAAACAAUACUUAUAAACCACUAAUACUCACAAUCAAAUAUUUACACAUCAACAACUGUAUUAUCUUUAAUUACGCCUUCAUUUAUCUAUUAAAAAAAAUCUCUAAUAAAAUCUCUAACUAACUCCGGUCAUCAUCUCUUGAAGGCUUAGAAAAUGUCCAAAUACAGCGGCACAUGCUCAUUAUUGUGUGAGCGAUGAGAACUUUGCGCUGAACCUAUAAAGUAACUAUACUUAACUGGUAAAGUAAUUGUAUCCCGUGAAUCUAAAGGAAGACUACACACGUUGAUAGAGUUUGAAAGAAAAGAAUAAAGAGAAUGAAAAUCCAAAGAAUUUGCUUCUUCCGUUGAACAAUCCCUACACAACAUUGAAAUAUCAAUGAAAAUAAUGGCUAUCGUAUACUCCCUCCAUCCAUGAAAGAACUUCAUAGGAGGGAGUGACACGGGUUUUAAGAAAAAAUAUUGUUAAGUGUAUUGAGAGUGGAUAAAAGGUAGUUGAGUGUAUUGGGAGUGGUGAAAAUGUGUUAUAGUUAAUAUUGAGAGUUGUGAAAAGUGAAAAGUAAGAGGAUUAUAAGUGGUGGGGUAUAGUCCAAAAAUAGGUAGGAAGUUCUUUUGUGGACGUCCCAAAAAGGAAAGAUAUGAAGUUCUUUCGUGGACGGAGGGAGUAUUAUUUUGCAGCAGCAACCACGUUUGAAAACUCGAUCCCUCUGUUCUUGAAUUUGUGAAAUUUCCGACUGAUUUAUUAGAUUCACCAUUUAUUUCAGUUUAAUUAGUCUAUAUAUAGAUAUUUCUUAUAUUAUUAAAUUGUUAACCUCAUGGUAGAUUUCAAGAUUUGAAAAUUCAACAAAGAGCUUGAGAAUUAUUGAGAUUGGAAGGGGAAGAUGAAACAUAAUUGGGUGAAAUUAGAAACCAAUUAAAGUCACAAGAUUGAACAAAAACAUAACUUAAAAACACAAAAUAAGCAAAUCGUAGAUGCAGUAUCUUGCAAGAAAAAGUUCAUAUUCCCAAGGCUAUGAUGAGCACGAAUUAGGGUGUGUCUGCAUUUUAUCCCUCUAAAUAGAGGAAUAACAAAAUUUUAUUCUUUAAAUGUUUGCUUUCUUAUCACACAUUCUACACAAACACCAUUUUUUCUUCCUUAUUUUCACUUCAAGGAGGANUAAUAUUAUCCCUCCAAUUUUGGUGUGAUAAUAUUAUCUCUUCUUGAAGUGAAAAUAAGGAAGAAAAAAUGGUAUUUGUGUAGGAUGUGGGAUAAGAAAGCAAACAUUUAAAGGUAUAAAUUUUUGUUAUUCCUCAUUUAGAGGAAUAAAAAGCAAACACACAUUAGAGUCUACUUACAAUUUAGGCGCAGGCUGUGCGAGAAUUACUUAGUCGAAUAGGAUCCUAAGUAUUUAUAUUUCUCAUGUUCUUGUGUAUUUUUUUACUGAUUCACUAUUGGAUUAACAAGAAUUAUCUUACUUUAAAUUUCUUGCUUUAAAAAAAAAAAAGAAUUAUCUUACUUCAUGUAUGGUAUGCCAACUGUUCGAUAAAGGUCCUUUUAGAAAUCUUCUAUUGAUUACCUUGCGAAGACCACAAAACUAGACACACCCAAAAGCAUUCUUGCAUAGUUUAUACAUAGAGAUGGCCGAUUGAUGAUCGUCUUAUUUGUAGACUUAACGCGAGCAGACUCGAUCGCUUAGUCCUUAUUGAUUUACGACACACAUGCUCACACACACACAUACACACAUCACAAAAUCACACAAAUUGACGGAUAAUGUUGCCGUUCAGCUCCUUCCUGAACCUCACCGCGGCAUUUUUCUGCACCAUAGUGGCCGUGAAAUACCACGAGACGAUGUCAUGGACGGCGACGUGUUGUCCGGUGGCGGCGGAUAGCCCGACCUGAACCUGCUGAGGAACAAAGUCGCUCAAAUCGUACUCAUAGUUGACAUCAAAUGUCUGCGAGCCGGCGGUGACUUUCACGGAGAUCAUCCUUGUGGCUCCGACGUAGUUGAUCCGCGCAGUCACCUGCUGCCCGAGUAUGGAGUUGUCGACCUUCGUCGUGUUGCUGGAUGCCCUAGAGCCGAAGUCGAUGCCGAUGUGGGGAUAGAGCGGAUCCCACGCGCCGUUGACGUAGGUGUCGAUUUCGACGGCGAAGACCGAGGGGCUGUUGCCGUUGGAGCCAAAGAUUCCGAGGUUGGCUCCGUUGGAGCCAGGGGGGAUGGUGGAACCGACGGGGGCAAUGAAGAAGGCGAGGCCGUCGGCAGGCUCGUUGUCGGCGCCCGGGGUGAUGAUGAAGUUCACAGUGGUUUCGAAGUCGACCUGCCCACCGGACUGCGAGAAUUGGACCGGGUUCGAGUGCAAGACGCGGCCGACUUGUGAGGGCUGUGCGUCUGUGAGGCGGAGGAAGGUGGAGUCCGUCGGGAAAUGGGCGCUGCCUUGAUAGAUGAGAUCUUUCGGCUGGUCGCCCCAGAAGUCGUAGGUGAAGGACGUCGUUUGGGACAACGCCGUGUUGGAAACGGCGAGGAGGAGGGCGAUGGAGGCGAGGAGAGGAGUUAAGGUUUGAACAAGCUGGUUGGCCAUGGCUUAAUUGAUUUAGAUUUAGAUUUAGAGAUGUGGUGGAUGAUGGUGGCCAGGUAUCGAUCUCUUGCACCUAUUUAUACUAGUAUGGUUCAUGCCUGUUAAUAAUUGUAUAUAUCAAUCAAUCAUCGUGCAUCUAUCCCAAAUUAUAUGUCUUAUUAUUCACUAAUUAGAUGGAAUAAAUCCUAAUUAGCAAUCUUAAAAUUACACCGCCAAUGAGGCCUUGCUCUAGUGGUAAAGCUGUGGCACCGAAUAACUUUUCUUUGUGAAAGGUCUUGGGUUCAAUCUCGCCUGCAUGCGGUGAUGUUUGUCCAUUUUAGAUGGUGUGGUAUUCUUGCCUGCGUGCGGUGUUGUAUUAUUUAGUCUUAGGCGUUCUUGCCUGUGUGCAUAUCACUGUGUGACAAUUAAAAGAAUGACUUUAAAAUAAAAGUUAAGCCUUAAAAAUUUAAUCUACAUUCAUAUAUAACUGAAAUUACAUGCAUGUCUAAUUUUUUUAAUAUCAUAACAAGAUAAGAUUUAUUAAAUAAUUCAGAUGCAUAAAUAAAAAGUUAAUCUAUAAACACAGUAUAGAUAUAUUAUCAAUGAUAGGCCGUGUAUAAGUCUUAAUCUGUAAAACUAUAUCAUCCCAGCCUUAAACGACUACCAUUCCUGCUUUCCCAGAGCAACCACACUGUUCCCACCCACAAAGCUUUAAGCAGUACAUGCAUGUCUAAAUAUUAUUUAUAAUUAUCAAUAACAAGAUUAAUGAUUCUAUAUCUCUAUGUUUAUACAUAUAUUCACGUAUGACAUAGUAUAUAUUAGCUAUUAAGUUAAAAACUAAUAAAAUACUACAGUUUUGCAUAGGAUAUAUAUUUAAUUAGUAGUAGGAUAGGACACGUGUAUUAAUUUUAAGGGCAAGUAAUCAAACUUUUGAAUGAUUCAUCAUGCUUAAAAAAAAAAAGAGACCUAGAUAGAUGAUUCAUCAGAUUCAAAAACAAGUAUAAAUAGACUUCGAGUUUGAAAUUUUAAUUAAUUUGCAACAACAAUUCAAACUGACUGUAUUAAGGUAAGUAGUUACAGAUUUCAUACACAUUAUAUGAUUUCGCGCACAUACGUAUGUAUAUAUAAAUAUUUUUUAAAAUCAUAUACUCCCUCCGUCCCCAAAAUAAGUUCCUCUUUGGGGACGGCACGGAUUUUAAGGAAAAGUGGUAAAGUGUAUUAAUAGUGGAGAAAAAUAUGUUAUAAUUAGUAUUGGAAGUUGUGAAAAGGUGAAAAAGUGUUAUAAUUAGUAUUGGGAGUGGUGAAAAAGUGAAAAGUAAGAAUAAAUAAAGUAUUAUUAGUGGUGGGGUAGUUGUCCAAAAAUGGAAAAAAAGAAAGAGGAACUUAUUUGGGGGACAUCCCAAAAUGGAAAAAGAGGAACUUAUUUCAGGGACGGAGGGAGUAUUAUAUAAUAAUUAUAUUUAAGUUUUAUAUUAUUCUUUAUAAACUAUUGUUCCAUUCUAUAUAAUUAGGUGUGGCACGACUAGGACGUAACUUUCGAUUGAAUUUCUCAAGUUAAUUUUCAAGUUCAAGUUUCAGGUGUGAGAUUUAUUUAAAUACAUGUCAUGAUUAUUCAUUGUCCAUUUUAAUAGUAUGUGUUUACCAUAUGUGUUAUGACGCAUAUUUUGAGGACAUCGCUAGGAGCCCAUAAAUAGGGUCCAGGACUUCACCGUCCUUGGAUUGCCACAAUGCGAUUUGAGGUUUAUUUUGAGGAUGUCGUCAGGGGCCCGUAAAUAGGGUCCAGGACUUUAAUAGUCAUUGGGUUGCCACAGUGCGAAUAUUGAAGAUAUAUAUGAAGUGACCGUAUGUGUUACCGUUUCAUUAACGUGGACAAUGAUUGCAUGUUUAAGAGACAAUAACCAAUUUUUCAGACAUUUGUGAACAAAAUGAAGCAUGUUUAGAGAUCCUUAAUAAAGGUGUACGAAAUGAUGGAUAAAUAAGUUUGUGAAACAAAUUUCACCAUACCUAACCCCACAAUUAUUUGCGGUCGAAUUUCCUCGUCACAGGAAAAAGAGAUGAUGACAAAAGGGCAAAAAUUAAUUAACAAAGUAGAAGAUGCAUGACAACUGUAAAAGAAAAAUAAUGCUACUAAUUAAAUAGUCCAAACUUCAUACGUUUCAUAUCAUAAGUGGCAGUUCUAUUUUUUUUUUGCGAAAGUGAACAAAAUAACGAAUAAUUUUUAAAGUAAUAGUAAUAAGGAGAUGUGUUUUGACAGAAAACGACAUGAGCGGCCUAAAAAUAAGAGGGAAAAAGAUAAUCAUAUAAAUAUGGGUUAAUUGCCUCUAAAUACACCACCUUUCCUUGAAUUCUACAAUUGCACAUCACCUUUAAAAUCCGCCCUUAAAUACACCACCUUUCCUUGAGUUCUACAAUUGCACAUCACCUUUAAAUCCGCCCCAAAAUACAUCAUCUUUAUAUUUUUUCUGUUUUUGCACAUGACUAAAAAAUUCUCAAGAAAUAAAUUAAAGUGUUAAUUUAUAAAUUUAAAUAUCUUUUUAGCAGCGAAAACAUAAUAAAAUAAAAUUCUUUAUAAAGUUUAAAAUCAUAUAUAUAUAUAUAUAUAUAUAAGUAUUUUCGUAAAGAAAUAAAUUCUCUAAUAAAUUUUUAGAAAGAACUUGAAUUAAAAAAAUAAACAAGUCAUGACAUUAAGAAAAUAAAAUGAAAUUUUUAUUUUAAUAAAUUUCACACGAAUUCGAUAUAAUUUGGAAUUUAGAGUUACAAUAAUCAGAAGUACCACAUGAAUAAUAUAAUGAGUUUGAAAGAAAUUUUUUUUAAAGAGGUUCGACACGCCCAUUCGACUUUCCACGCGCCUCCAAUGUCAUUUACCUGAAAUAUUAANUAUAUAAGUAUUUUUCGUAAAGAAAUAAAUUCUCUAAUAAAUUUUUAGAAAGAACUUGAUUAAAAAAUAAACAAGACAUGACAUUAAGAAAAUAAAAUGAAACUUUUAUUUUAAUAAAUUUCACACGAAUUCGAUAUAAUUUGGAAUUUAGAGUUACAAUAAUAAAAAGAACCACAUAAAUAAUAUAAUCAGUUUGAAAGAAAUAUAUAUAUAUUUUUUUAAAGAGGUUCGACGCGCCCAUUCGACUCUCCACGCGCUACCAAUGUCAUUACCUGAAAUACUAAAUAUGGGAUAAGCAUACAUAAUAUACUUAGUGUGGGAACAUGCAAUUAUUGUCCACGUUAAUAAAAUAGUAACACAUACGAUCAUAACAUUCAAAACGACACAAUUUUGCCAAUAUGGAAGCCACGUCAUUUAAAGUGGUAACACCCUAAUCUAACUAAAGUGUUAAAUAUAAAUUUAAAGCGGAAAUAUAAUAAAAUAAAGUUCUUUAUAAAAAUAAAUAAAGAAUUUUAUUUUAUUAUAUUUCCGCUGCUAAAAAAGAUAUUUAAAAUUUAUAAAUUAACACUUUAAUUUAUUUCUUGAGGAUUUUUAAGUCAUGUGCAAAAACAGAAAAAAAAUAUAAAGGUGAUGUAUUUUGGGGCGGAUUUAGAAUUCAAGGAAAUGUGGUGUAUUUAGGGGCGGAUUUUAAAGGUGAUGUGCAAUUGUAGAAUUCAAGGAAAGGUGGUGUAUUUAGGGGAAAUUAACCCUAUAAAUAUUCAAAAUCAAACGGAUUGGCAUGUAUUCAUCAUUUUUUAUUUUUUAUUUUGAUAAUUUAACAGUAUUAAAUAAAGAAAUUUAUAGGCUGCGUCCCUUACUGCUUGGCUUUUAGAUUAUGUUGUAAUAAUAAAAUUAAAAGCACGUUUACAAUAUAAAAUUAAUUAUGAUAAAUACAAUAUAUUAAUAAUAAAUACUCAAUUACCUCUUAACAUAAUUCGCGCAUCAUGGCUUUUAGCUUAUAUUAUAAAGAUAUAAUAUGUUGUCUAUAAUAAUCGACGGAAGGUAAUAGACAACAUGUUUUACUUCUUGUCUAUAAUAAUAUAGACAGUAGAUCUAGUGUUAUAGAUAACAAUUAAUACGUGUUGUCUAUAUGAUGAUAGACACCAAAAAUCUCUGUUGUCUAUUCUAUGACAAAAAAAUUUAAAAAAAUUCUAAUAUAUUUACAUCCCUGUAUUACAAUACCAAUAUAUAUGAAAAAAUAAAAAUAAUUAAAAAUCAAAUAAUCAAACAAUACUUAUAAACCACUAAUACUCACAAUCAAAUAUUUACACAUCAACAAUUGUAUUAUCUUUAAUUACGCCUUCAUUUAUCUACUAAAAAAAAUCUCUAAUAAAAUCUCUAACUAACUCCGGUCAUCAUCUCUUGAAGGCUUAGAAAAUGUCCAAAUACAGCGGCACAUGCUCAUUAUUGUGUGAGCGAUGAGAACUUUGCGCUGAACCUAUAAAGUAACUAUACUUAACUGGUAAAGUAAUUGUAUCCCGUGAAUCUAAAGGAAGAAUAAACACGUUGAUAGAGUUUGAAAGAAAAGAAUAAAGAGAAUGAAAAUCCAAAGAAUUUGCUUCUUCCGUUGAACAAUCCCUACACAACGUUGAAAUAUCAAUGAAAACAAUGGCUAUCCUAUACUCCCUCCAUCCAUGAAAGAACUUCCUAGGAGGGAGUGACACGGGUUUUAAGAAAAAAUAUUGUUAAGUGUAUUGAGAGUGGAUAAAAGGUAGUUGAGUGUAUUGGGAGUGGUGAAAAUGUGUUAUAGUUAAUAUUGAGAGUUGUGAAAAGUGAAAAGUAAGAGGAUUAUAAGUGGUGGGGUAUAGUCCAAAAAUAGGUAGGAAGUUCUUUUGUGGACGUCCCAAAAAGGAAAGAUAUGAAGUUCUUUCGUGGACGGAGGGAGUAUUAUUUUGCAGCAGCAACCACGUUUAAAAACUCGAUCCCUCUAUUCUUGAAUUUGUGAAAUUUCCGACUGAUUUAUUAGAUUCACCAUUUAUUUCAGUUUAAUUAGUCUAUAUAUAGAUAUUUCUUAUAUUAUUAAAUUGUUAACCUCAUGGUAGAUUUCAAGAUUUGAAAAUUCAACAAAGAGCUUGAGAAUUAUAGAGAUUGGAAGGGGAAGAUGAAACAUAGUUGGGUGAAAUUAGAAACCAAUUAAAGUCAGGAGAUUGAAGAAAAACAUAACUUAAAAACACAAAAUAAGCAAAUCGUAGAUGCAGUAUCUUGCAAGAAAAAGUUCAUAUUCCCAAGGCUAUGAUGAGCACGAAUUAGGGUGUGUCUGCAUUUUAUCCCUCUAAAUGGAGGAAUAAUAAAAUUUUAUGCCUUUAAAUGUUUGCUUUCUUAUCACACAUUCUAAACAAACACCAUUUUUUCUUCCUUAUUUUCACUUCAAUGAGGGAUAAUAUUAUCCCUCCAAUUUUGGUGUGAUAAUAUUAUCCCUCCUACAAGUGAAAAUAAGGAAGAAAAAAUGGUACUCCCUUCGUCCCAAACGAAAUGUCCUGUUUUCCUUUUUGGGCUGUCCCAAACGAAAUGUCCUGUUUCCUUUUUUGGCAAUACACUCUCUCUCUAUACUUAAUAUUUAAAUAAUUUUCACCAACCCACUUUAUCUACUUUAUACACAUUUCUUAAUCUCCGUGCCGAAAAGAAAUGGGACAUUUCGUUUGGGACGGAGGGAGUAUUUGUGUAGGAUGUGGGAUAAGAAAACAAACAUUUAAAGACAUAAAUUUUUGUUAUUCCUCCAUUUAGAGGGAUAAAAAGCAAACACACCUUAGAGUCUAAUUACAAUUUAGGCGCAGGCUGUGUGAGAAUUACUUAGUCGAAUAGGAUCCUUAGUAUUUAUAUUUCUCAUGUUCUUGUGUAUUUUUUCACUGAUUCACUAUUGGAUUAACAAGAAUUAUCUUACUUUAAAAAAAAAAAAGAAAUGAUCUUACUUCAUGUAUGGUAUGCCAACUGUUCGAUAAAGGUCCUUUUAGAAAUAUUCCAUAGAUUACCUUGCAAAGACCACAAAACUAGACACACCCUGCAUAGUUUAUACAUAGGGAUGGCCGAUUGAUGAUCGUCUUAUUUGUAGACUUAACGAGAGCAGACUCGAUCGCUUAGUCCUUACUGAUUUACGACACACAUGCACACAUACACAGAUACACACAUCACAAAAUCACGCAAAUUGACGGAUAAUGUUGCCGGCCAGCUCCUUCCUGCUCCACGCCACGGCAUUUUUCUGCACCAUGGUGGCCGUGAAAUACCACGAGACGAUGUCAUGGGUGGCGACGUGUUGUCCGGUGGCGGCGGAUAGCCCGACCUGAACCUCCUGAGCAACAAAGUAGCUCAAAUCGUACUCAUAGCUGACAUCAAACGUCUGAUUGCCGGCGGUGACUUUGACGGAGAUCAUCCUUGUGGCUCCGACGUAGUUGAUCCGCGCAGUUACCUGCUGCUUGAGUAUGGAGCUGUCGACCGGCGUCGUCUUGCUGGAUACCCUAGAGCCGAAGUCGAUGCCGAUGUGGGGAUAGAGCGGAUCCCACGCGCCGUUGACGUAGGUGUCGAUUUCAACGGCGAAGACCCCGGGGCUGUUGCCGUUGGAGCCAAAGAUUCCGAGAUUGGCUCCGUCGGAGCCAGGGGGGAUGGUGGAGUCGACGGGGGCAAUGAAGAAGGCGAGGCCGUCGGCAGGCUCGUUGUCGGCGCCGGGGGUGAUGAUGAAGUUCACGGUGGUUUCGAAGUCGACCUGCCCAUUGGACAUCCAGAAUUGGACCGGUUCCGAGUACAUGACGCGGCCGACUUGGGACGGUUGUGCGUCUGUGAGGCGGAGGAAGGUGGAGUCCGUCGGGAAAUGGGCGUUGCCUUGAUAGAUGAGAUCUUUCGGCUGGUCGCCCCAGAAGUCGAAGGUGAACGACGUCGUUUGGGACAACGCCGUGUUGGAAACGGCGAGGAGGAGGGCGAUGGAGGCGAGGAGAGGAGUUAAGUUGGCCAUGGCUUAAUAGAUUUAGAUUUAGAGAUGUGGUGGAUGAUGGUGGUAUCGAUCUGUUGCACCUAUUUAUACUAGUAUGGUUCAUGCCUGAUAAUAAUUGUAUCAAUCAAUCAUCGUGCAUCUAUCCCAAAUUAUAUGUC